UCCUGGUAGAUGGCUUUAUGUACAUGCACAGUAGCAAAGGCGUACUUGCUGUCAGUGUAAAUGUUAAUACGUUUAUUCUUACUUUAUCAGAGAGCCUGAGUGAGGGCGAUGAAUUGAGCCUUUUGUGCUGAGGUGUUCGCUGGUAAAGCUUGAGCUUACAACACAUCUGUCUCCGUGGUAACAGCUGCACUGACUUUUCAUACUUCCUGCUUGAGGAAGCUGCUACUGUCUGUGAACAAGGCGGCAUCUGCCUUUUCUAGGGGCACAGCUUGAAGAUCAGAUCGGCCAGUUUCGAUAGUUUCUAACAGUUCUUGACAGUCAUGAGCAGGAAUAGUGCAGUCUGAGUCAGAAAGUAGUGUAGCUGGAUUGAAACACUUUGUGGGAGAGAAAGUCAAACGAGGCUGAUCUAACAGUAAACUUCGAUACUGCAAGAUGCGAGCAUUUGACAUCUAUUUGCCAGAAGCAUUUUGUAGUAAGGUCUUUAAGGCGUGAGGAGCUGUAAGUGUUAAAUUUUGGCUUAGAGUUAACUUAUCAUCUUCUUGGGCCAGGCUUGCUGUAGCCGCUAUGGCUCGCAGACAACUUGGCCAUCUAGAGGCCACAGGAUCUAGCCUCUUAGAUAAAUAGGCCACUGGGCGUCUUUAGGGUCUUAGAGUCUGAGUAAGCACGUCUUUAGCAACUCCUUGGCUUUUAUGGAGAUAUUAGGGAGGGCUAAAGCAGGGGCUUCAGUUAAUGCUAAAUUAACAGGCUAUUUCAUUCUGUACUUCUUGGAUAGCUGCCACUAAGAUUUUUGUUUGUCUUUUGAAUGCUUUAUCAGCGGCCUUUUCAGCUGCCUGUGUUGCUUGUUUUUGUUUUUUAAACUUUUGAUUGUCAAAAACUUUUUGGGCUAUUUCUAAAAGCUGACUGAUAUUUAUUCUAGCAAAUCUUUUUAGUUUUUGGAGUUUCUUUUUAAUAUCCGGGGCUGCCUGAGCCACAAAUGCUAAAUGAAGAGCACGGCUAUUUUCGGGAGCUGCCGGGUCCAAAGGGGUGUAAAUCCGAUAAGCCUCCUGGAGGCGCUCUAAAAACGUUCUUGGUGACUUAUCGGGCCUUUGGACAACUUCGGUCGUCUUAGACAAGUUUAUGGGUUUCUGAGCGGCUCUUUUAAUACUUGCGAGGAGAUACCGGUGAAAAUCGUCUAAAGCUCCCUUUCUACUUGAGGAAUUUGGGUUCUGGUUAGGCCGGGUAGAGGGAAAGACCUCCUCAAGGAGGUCUCUAACUUCUUCUUCCGGUCCGUUGGCUGAUGUGAGGAAGUACUUUUUGGCUUCUUUUUGGAUACGUUCCUUCUUUUCAGAGGUGAAAAGGGUUAAAAGGAGCUGUUGGCAAUCAUCUUAGGUGGGCGGGUUGAGUCCGGAGUACAGACUGUCAGAGAGGUCAAAGCCUGGGGCUUUUCAGAGAAGGGAGGAUUAUGGGUUUUCGAAUUAUAUAAGUCAGAAGUAGAAAAAGAACACAAACUAAGAAGGGUGCUGAGCGCUCGUCACCUGGAGGGACUUGUGCCUCUCUCAGUGGUAGUAGAGGGGCUACUUCUUCCUGCCACGGUCAUGAUUGAGAGGCAAUGGGUGGCGAGCCUACAGGGGACGUCGUCGAGCAGACAUGGGAUAACUUUAAGGGAGAAGGCUGGUUGUAAGGCGGUGGGACUGGGUGAGGGAGACUCUCCUCUUCUUCAGAGGGAGGCAGUACAGGGGGAGCUGAACCGGCUGAGGGUUGAGGCGAAAAUGCGGUCUGGCUUAGGAGGACCUUGGAGGUAGAAUUAUGAAUGGCGCAUGAACGGAGCCAUGGAGGGGGCUCCUGACUAAACUUAGCUAUUGAUCAAUGUAGGGAAACUGAUCAGGGUGGCUAGGAGUUUCAGUAACAACCUGCCACACAGCUUGAACAAUUGUGAGGUUCAAUGGCCCUUCAGGGGGCCACUCGACUCUAAACUUUGGCCAUUUUAUUUUGCACAGUGUCUGGAGCUUGCCUUUUUUAAGGCGGACUUUAUAAUCCUCUGAGGAACUGAGAGGAAAAUUCUGCAGCAUACAUUGGAGAGGGCUUUAACUUUACAAGGCUGGGAGGAAGUGUUUCUUUCUUUUUUUUUUUUGAAGGCAAUUUAAUAAGAUUGGAGCAUAGAUAUUAAACUUAGCAUGGACAGAGAAACUUAUUUCUUGGGGGACUGGAGUAGUGAAAGAACAGUAUAAAUAUGACUAGAAAGAGCAGAAAAACUUACAACAGCUAAUACUACUUGCUACAUUGCUGUAGCUUUAAGAUUGAGGGAGGAGGACUAGAGCCAGCCUGAGAUCUUCUGGGUCAGUUUGAUCUAGGCGUUCUUCUUCUUCUUCUAGAUCUGCACUUUAAAUACUUUUGGUGUCUUUAUGACUUAAACGCAAAUAGCCUAAACUUAGCUUUUUCUUUUAAGGGUUUAAAGAGUGAGAGCAGAGCCAAGUCCUGGAGACGGUAAACUUGCUGUCGCACCGUAAAACGAGAUGUGCGGGAUAGGGGGCAGGGACAAGGUGGAAAAGGACUACUCUGAUCAUUUUGAAGAUGGGAGAGUAGCCACAGAGGAACAGAGUAAGAAUCUUAACGAAGUAAAGCAGUACGGGCGUACGUUUCUUUACACAGUGUUUUACUUAAGGGCACAGGAAAAGUUACAGAAUGACAAGAGAGGUGAGCAAGGAAAUCUGCAGGGUGGCUGUUUUGAACUCACUACUGGUUUAUUUAGAGGAGGUCUAAUCACUUGGACGAGGAGUAUGGCGAUCUAAAUACUUACAACUUUCAUGGUGCUAGAAAUCUUAAUCAGGCAAAUGUUUUUCACACUUGUUCUUGUAACAACACUUGACUUGCUUCUGGCAGAAAAGACAGGACUGUGGUGGUCAGCCUAAAUGAUUGAUGAGAAAUUUAACCUCCUGUGACAAAAAAUCAGCACUAAGGACUUUGAAGAAGUUUUUACUUAGACGUCUUGGGCAAUAUCAACGUCUUGACAUGCAAAACUUUGACAACUACUAACAAGACAAUAGACACUGAACAGAACAAUCAAUAUAAAACAAACAGUUGACUUUAGGGCAUGUAAACAGUUAUGACAGUUUCUUCCUUUUUUUUUUUUCUUAGACAGACAAGGAGAGGGUUUCCUGUGAUGGGAUCAGUCAGAUGCCUGCCUGGCCACUCCCCCUGAGGGGACCUGGGCUCCUCUUACCAUUGGCAGGCCGGUAUAAACUUGCGGCUCAGAUCAAGCUAUGCCUGAUGCUGCCUUAAGCCUUAUGAGGUCGCCAAGGAACCGCAGGUGAGGAUUCAGGAGAUAAUUCUGCAAACAGAACUUCCUGAGAACUGAGAUGGGGGAAAUCGCUGGUAUUAGAAGAGUGAAAAGAAACUCCUGGAGGGCAGAGGCAUGCCUGCCAUCUUCAUCAAUGCAUUACCACCACCCAACACUAUCGGGGGACCUGCCCUGAUAAUCAGCAUGUAAGGAGGCUUAACACAACUCUGUAUGGGAACAGUCAGGUUGGAGGUAAGUAAAGCAGAAUGUCUGGGUCUACAAUGAUACUGAGAGUGGGACGGUAGUGGGAACAACAGUCAAAAUAGUUUUUCCUUCCCAUACUCGCAGUUCAGACAUGGCAAUAGCCAAUUUCCAAAAUUCUGGGUGUUCUGGGCUCAGAAUAGGGAGUAUCAUACGAGGCCUGGGGGGGUGGUAAUGCCUUUAUCUUCCCAUUUUAAGGGAAAGAAUGAGCUGGUCCUUGUAUGCAAAGUAGAAUGAUUAUUCUCUUUCUCCUGGUAAGAAAUAAAAUAAGUAGCCUCCAGGCAUUCCCUUCCACGGAGGAGCAAUUGUUUUUGAAAUAGCCCUUUGGUGCCCAGUCUAUUACUAAACCAUAUGAGUCAUUUUUCAAUAUUACUGCAUGUGAGUUAACACAAUCUUCCCAAAUUAAAGUUUUAGAUGGGCCCUCAAAAUGUUUAGGGCAUGGUUUUCCUGCAGGUUUAUAUUGAAAGUAUGCGGUACCUCCCAUUACUCCUCCUUUCAUUUGUUUUAAAGGAGAAAGGGAGAGGCCAGAGACCAAAUGUCCCAUUUUAUCUGUAGCAGAUGUUUCUAAAAGAUAAGCAGCCCAGAACUGAGUUUCUAGAUGGAUGCAACCAGGUGCAUGUCGGAGGCACAGAGGUGGGUAUUUCUAACCCAUGGUAACAUUAAAUGCAGUGCCUUCUUCUCCUGGUUGAGCAGGGCAAGGGUCGUCUAUGGCUCCAGGCAUCCACACACUAUCGUUAGUGUAGAUUUCUGCGGGAGCAUCUAUCCAGGUGAGAGGAUGAAUGAGUGGAGGAAAAGGCACAUAAGCCCAAUAAGAAUAAUUCUGUGUAGCAGGUAAAUCAGUGUGAGAGGAAACUGGUGAGACAGAAAGUAUAAGGAGGAGAAUCAUUAAAUAAAACCUAGUGUAAGCGAGAUGGAGUGCUGAAGGAGAAAGAGAAGAACAGAGGGAUGUUAUUUUCAGGCUAAUAGAAAUGGUGAGAUAUUUAGGUUUGUAAGGAGAAAAAGAAAGGUAAUCAGGAGAAGUGUGAUUAGUUAGAUGGGUCUCCAAUGCCAUCAGGGAGGACUGAUUUACACCCAUUGUGAUUUGGUGUGCCUGUUUCUGAGGAGUCGGCACAGAUCUCACCACAUCUGAAGGCAGUCUCUGACACAGACGUCUCUUCACUGUGGUUUUGUCAGUAUUCACAAGAAGCUUGAGUCUUCUGGUAGGUACCCAGACAGGGGAUUGAUGAUCUCCUGGUGAAACACAAGCAUAUCCUCUUCCGCAGGUUAAGUAGAAUAAGAGACAAUAUUUAAAGGUUUGGGGAAAUCUUGUAAGGCAGUAAUCACAGCAAUUAACUCCGCCUUUUGAACGGAAGUAUAAGAGGUAGAAAUAAGUUUGUCUGCAGGACCUAUAUAGCCAGCACUGCCUUACUAGAGCCAUCAGUGAAUACUGUAACGGUCUCAGGAAUGGGUUGAUUUUUGGUUAAUAGAGGAACCACCCAAGACGUUAUUUUUAUAAAAUCAAACAAUUUGUUUUUUUGGAUAAUGAUUGUCAAUAACACCAAUAAAAUCAGCCAAGUGAAUUUGCCACAGUACAGAAUGUUGAAAGGCAGCUUGAACUUCGAGCUGAUUUAAAGGAACUACAAUUACAUUUGGAUCAAAUCCAGAAAUUUGAAGUAUUCUGCACCGAACCUGUCCAAUUAAUAUGGCUAUUUGGUCUAGAUAAAGUUUUUGACACAGAAUGAGGAAGAAAACACCACUCCACUAAAUCAUUAUGUUGAACUAUUAGUGCAGUAGGGGAGUGUAAUGAAGCAAAAACCAGAAGCUGAAGAGGCUGAAAUGGCUGUACUCUAGAUAACUGGGCAGUCUGGAUUUUUUCCUCUACAAAUUCCAGAUCUAGUAAAGCCUCAGGGGUCAAAGUCCUAGGGCUGCAGAGAUCAGAAUCUCCCCGCAGCAUAGAGAACAAGUUAGACAGGGCAUAGGUCGGAAUGCCUAAAGUAGGUCUUAAAUAAUUAAUGUUACCCAAAAGUUUUUGGAAGUCAUUUAAAGUUUUUAAAGGAUCUCUCCUAAUUUGAACUUUUUGAGGUUGUAUACAUUUUUUAUCGACCACCAUUCCUAAAUAUUGAACAGGAGUGGUCUGUUGAAUUUUAUCCUGAGCAAUGUGUAAUCCAGCCUCUGUAACACAGCGGCUCAAAAUUUGGUAACAGUCAAUUAAUUUUUUAUCAGUGGGGGCAGAAAUUAAAAUAUCAUCAAUAUAAUGAAGAAUAUAGGCGUCGGGAAAUCGGGCUCAAACUGGUGAAAGCUCUUGUCCAACAUAAAGCUGGCAGAUUGUAGGGCUAUUUAGCAUUCCCUGAGGAAGUACUUUCCAUUGAUAACGAGCUACAGGCUCCUGAUUAUUGAUAGAUGGUACAGUAAAAGCAAAUUUUUCACAAUCCGAUUUAUGUAAAGCGAUAUGAAAAAAAAAAAACUCUUCAAGAUCACUAACUAUGAGAGGCCAAUCUUUAGGUAUUAAAGCAGGGGCAGGCAUGCCGGGUUGGACGGCCCCCAUAGGUUUAAUUACAGCAUUAAUGGCCCUUAAAUCGGUUACCAUCCGCCAUUUGCCUGAUUUCUUUUUUACUAGAAACACAGGAGAAUUCCAAGGGGAAAGAGAAGGUUCCACAUUUCCAAGCUGUAACUGCUCAGAAACCAAUUGAUUUAAAGCCUCCAGUUUUUCUUUAGAAAGCGGCCACUGCUGAAUCCCAGGGCCACGUGUCUUAUCUCCUUUGUUUAAAAGGAUAUUAGGUAGUAAAAGCAAUUGAGCUUGUUUAACAUAGUAAAAGAAACAGGAGCUUGGGCUGGGGAGUGUAAUUUCUCCCAAGCUCUCAUACACACUUUUGUUACUUGUUCUGUGGUAAGAGUAUCAAAGUUUAAUUGGGCAUAAGCAUCAGAGAAACUAUCGGAGCCUGUGAGCUGAGCCUGAGUAAUUAGAAUGCCAUUACUCCGAUUUAGCUGAGCCUGUAAACAGGCCUCCUCUGACCACCAGGCUGAGAUGGACUUAGAACAGCUUUUUGCCAAAAGAUCACAGUCUAAAGGAAGCAAAACGACCUCAGUAUAAAAAGUUUGCAAUGCCAUUUGAACAUGAGGAAACGUAGGACCAUACUGAGUACAAGCAUCCUUAAAUUGUUUUUAAAAAGGUAAGAUUGAGCGGCGCAUAUCGACGCAGACUGGUUGAGGAACUGAAACGACAGGAGGGUGAGGGGUUGUAGUGGAUGGGGGAGGGCCCGGAGAAUGACAGGUAAAUUGUAGUUUGGUCCCAGAGCCAUUAGUUGAUGCUGGAGGUUUGAAGAGAGAAGAAUUAGCAUAUUUAUGGUACCGGGCUUUGUGAUUCACAGCCGCAGGAGUUUGAAGUACCGGCUUUUCAUGAGAAGAAGAAAAGCAGGGGGUAACUUUAAGCCAAAGUUACCAGAGUUAGAAAUCGAAUUUUCAGAAUCGUUAGGUAGGGGAGGGGUAACUGAAGGGAGAGUCUGAACGAAGGCCAUGUGCGAGAGGAAGGUUGAGAAAAAGGCAGAGAAACUGAGGAAAAGGCAGAAAACUGUGGCAACUGCAGGGGGUCACGAGAUUGGCAAGCCACGAAGAUGGCACGCACCAAGCACCCCAAACAGUGAUGGGAACACAAUACCCGGCCGAGACCAGUUUUCGGAAUGCUUUACGAACACUAUCACACAAUUUUAUAUACACGGUUCCUUUUUCAGGAAACCAAGAACAAUAUUUUUCUACUGCCCUGAAUAGAGUGAUCAUAUUUUUCAUGGUUACCUGUUUUAACAGGAGUUUGUUAGAUUACACAUUACCCAUAGUUAACCCAGACCUUACACAGAUUACUCACCACUCGUCGGGGAGUUGAACACGCUUAUCUGUGGACCAAGCCGAUUGACGUUUCACCGCACCUACCAAAGGGAAUCCGGUUCCCUCAUGCACUUAGGAAAAAAGAAAGACCACGUGGGCGCCAGAUAUCGGGAGACCUGCCCCGAUAAUCACGUAGGUUCUUUUCUAUUUUCCUAAGCGUCGACUUGCUUGAGAAAUAAAAGGACAGAGUACAAAAGAGAGAAAUUUUAAAGCUGGGCGUCCGGGAGAGACAUCACACAUUGGUAGGAUCCGUGAUGUCCCACAAGCCACAAAAACCAGCAAGUUUUUAUUAGGGAGUUUCAAAAGGGGAGGGAGUAUACAAAUAGGUGUGGGUGACAGACAUCAAGUACUUAACAGGAUAAUAGAAUAUCUCAAGGCAAGUGGAGACAGGGCGAGACCACAGGACCGAAGUGAAAUUAAAAUUGCUAAUGAAGUUUUGGCACCAUUGUCAUUGAUAACAUCUUAUCAGGAGACAGGGUUUUGAGAUCAACCGGUCUGACCAAAGUUUAUUAGGUGGGAAUUUUCUUUUCCUAAUAAGCCUGGGAGCGCUAUGGGAGACUGGAGUUUAUUUCAUCUCUGCAAUCUCGACCAUAAGAGACAGGUACGCCCCACGGGGCCAGUUCAGAGACCUACCCCUAGGUGCGCAUUCUCUUUCUCAGGGGCGUUCCAUGCUGAGAAAAGGAAUUCAGCGAUAUUUCUCCCAUUUGCUUUUGAAAGAAGAGAAAUAUGGUUCUGUUCUGCCCGGCUCACCGGCGGUCAGAGUUUAAGGUUAUCUCUCUUAUUCCCUGAACAAUUGCUGUGAUCCUGUUCUUUUUUCAGGGUGCCCACAUUUCAUAUUGCUCAAACACACAUGCUGUACAAUUUGUGUACCUAACGCAAUUAUUACAGGUCCUGAGACGAUAUACAUCCUUCUGGGCUGACAGGAUUAAGAGAUUAAAGUAAUGACAGGCAUAGGAAAUCACAAGGGUAUUGAUUGGGGAAGUGAUAAGUGUCCAUGAAAUCUUUACAAUUUAUGUUUAGAGAUUGCAGUAAAGGAAGGCAUAGGAAAUUACAAAAGUAUUAAUUUGGGGAACUAAUAAAUGUCCAUAAAAUCUUCAUAAUCCACAUUCUUCUGUCAUGGCUUCAGCCGGUCCCUCCGUUUGGGGUCCCUGACUUCCCGCAACACAGCACAGUGCCUGGCACAAAAGAGUUGCUCAAUAAAUAAAUCAGGAUGAAUAGAUAAAUACACGGAUAGGCACUUUGAACUACAGAUGAGCUUAAAUACUUUGUGUUUUUCUUAGUCAAACAUGUGCAAUUAAGCAUGUGAUAAAUGUUAUGAUGACCACACCUGUGUCUUGCCUGACGUUCUUUGCAAUCACUAAAUGAAGUCAAUUGUGCCUGUUUUGACAGUUCUAUUUUCAACCUAAUGAUCUGUUUAUUUUAACUUCUGGCUGUUGGCUUUGUUUGGGUGUGUUAGCCUGACAAAGUGGUAGAUAUUAGUAUUUGCUGUUUUGUUUAAAUGUCACGAAGUUUAAAAAUGCCUUUGCUUUUGGUAAGAAACCCUAGUUAGGACACUCUAGUGGUCAGGAUGAUUUGGGUUCUGGUGCAGUAACAACAAUCCCCAAAUCUCAGUGGCUCCAUGCAGUGAGGUAUUUGUUUGUUUGUUUUUGAGACAGG